AGAGGGUUAGGUGUUGAGUGGAUAAUUGUUGCAACCAAUAGGGCCAACAAAGAGGGAUUUUAUCCCAUCAUUGUGGGGGCUUUCUGUGGCCCCUUCCCAUUAGUUAGUUCACAACUAACUGUAGAACAUAGUGCAACUUAAAAUAAGGGGAGGAGGAAAAGGUAAGCCCUAUCAUUAUACAUUGGUCCAUACCAUGCUCUGGGAAAACAUUAAGGGAAGGACAAACCCUUAUUCACUGAUUACCUGUGUGGUACCUCCAGGUGGCCAUGGCUCUCCCAGGCAAGCCACUCUACCGCGCACCAAGGGUGAACUUUAAGUGUCCGGUGGAAAGGUAGGGGUACCGUAAUUAAUAACGGAGUGGUAGGGUUGGGAGUGUAA